UACGUAGGUGGCAAGCGUUGUCCGGAUUUACUGGGCGUAAAGAGCGCGCAGGCGGUUGAUUAAGUCGAAUGUGAAAGCCCCCGGCUCAACUGGGGAGGGUCAUUCGAUACUGAUUGACUUGAAGGCAGGAGAGAGAAGUGGAAUUCCCGGUGUAGUGGUGAAAUUCGUAGAUAUCGGGAGGAACACCGGUGGCGAAGGCGGCGACCUGGGUCGACACUGACGCUGAGGCGCGAAAGCGUGGGGAGCGAACAGG
rnacentral:rRNA from 1 species